rnacentral:rRNA from 1 species
CCUACGGGUGGCAGCAGUGGGGAAUAUUGCACAAUGGGGGAAACCCUGAUGCAGCGACGCCGCGUGAGUGAAGAAGUAACUCGUUAUGUAAAGCUCUAUCAGCCGGGAAGAAAAUGACGGUACCUGAGUAAGAAGCUACGGCUAUCUCGGUGCCAGAAGCCGCGGUAAUACGUAGGGGGCAAGCGUUAUCCGGAUUUACUGGGUGUAAAGGGAGCGUAGGCGGCAGUGCAAGGCAGGAGUGAAAGGCUGGGGCGCAACCCCGGGACUGCUCUGGAAACUGUGCGGCUGGAGUGCAGGAGAGGUAAGUGGAAUUCCUAGUGUAGCGGUGAAAUGCGUAGAUAUUAGGAGGAACACCAGUGGCGAAGGCGGCUUACUGGACUGUAACUGACGUUGAGGCUCGAAAGCGUGGGGAGCAAACAGGAUUAGAUACCCGGGUAGUC